GUUUUGGUUCUGGUAAUUUUACUUCCCAGGAUGCCUUACUGUAGCGCAUGUGUUGAACUAUUGACGGGGAGUUCACCACUAUCCGCAUUGGCGUUACUAUGCAGUUGAUACUUGACAGGAAUUUUUCUUCAUGUUGAAUUCCAUAAAUUUCAACUUUCAAGACUAGCUUCCAACGCCUUAAGGCUUAACUUAAGUGUUACUUACAAUAUACUAUAUAGAGCAAAUCUCGUCAACCACUUUCCUCAUCGCUACAUCAGAUUAAUACUAAUAGAGACAGAAAAAGUUGGAAAAUGACUGAGAAUCCAGCUGAAUGCAGUAUCAAAGUGGUGUGUCGAAUUCGGCCUCUUAACAGUUCAGAAGAGAAAUCGGGAAGCAAAUUCAUUGUGAAAUUUCCACCAAAUACAGAAGAAUGUGUUUCCAUUAAG
rnacentral:lncRNA from 1 species